AGUGCACAGUGUUAGAGCUUGGAGCUGAGGCAACUGAACUCGCAAAUGUAGGUAGUACACUACAUGAGGGGUGAGUUUUCACUAACACCACAAGGGUCUCUGGCCCAGUGAGUGAAGUCUAAUAGUAAUCUUUGAUACAUAU